GACGAACGCUGGCGGCGUGCUUAACACAUGCCAGUCGAACGGUGAAGCUCCAGCUUGCUGGAGUGGAUCAGUGGCGAACGGGUGAGUAACACGUGAGCAACCUGCCCCUGACUCUGGAAUAAGCGCUGGAAACGGCGUCUAAUACUGGAUACGAGAAGGGUCCGCAUGGGCACUUUCUGGAAAGUUUUUCGGUUGGGGAUGGGCUCGCGGCCUAUCAGCUUGUUGGUGAGGUAAUGGCUCACCAAGGCGACGACGGGUAGCCGGCCUGAGAGGGCGACCGGCCACACUGGGACUGAGACACGGCCCAGACUCCUACGGGAGGCAGCAGUGGGGAAUAUUGCACAAUGGGCGAAGGCCUGAUGCAGCGACGCCGCGUGAGGGAUGACGGCCUUCGGGUUGUAAACCUCUUUCAGCAGGGAAGAAGCGAAAGUGACGGUACCUGCAGAAGAAGCACCGGCUAACUACGUG
rnacentral:rRNA from 1 species